AAGCAACAGCGCCACAAGGUAACAGGGAGCAAUGUACUCUGUGCAUCCCAGCUCCGCACUCAGCAAGGGCACUGUUCAGAGAGCUCAGAAUUGAAGGAAGAGCCUGGAAUUUGAAAUGAGAUCAACCUGGGCCAAGAUCUAGCUCCAUUAUUUGCUUACCUAAUAGUUCUAUAAACUUUUCAAGUUUCAGUAUCUCUGACUCUUCAUUUCCUCAUCAGAAACAUGGGGAUCUUAACAUCUACCUUUCAGUUUGCAGAGUCAACCUGUGGGUGAUGGAAAAUGAAGCUCUCAGAGGUUUUAUGUUACCCACCUAAGUCACAUGGCUAGAGACCCCUCCAGCCCCACUGAUAUGGGAUGUAGACAGAGGCAUUGGCCAAAGCCUGGAGAGACGCACACCCAGAGUCAGAGGGGAAAGAAGCAGAGUGAAGAACCUUUCUGAGAAGCCUGCUCAUCUGUAUGCUCCGAGAGCAGUGGAAGCCACAGCACAGGAAGCUUCAUUGGGAAGGGCCUUGUGAAUCAGUCCAGGCUCAUGGGCACAACUGUGAGCCUCGCUUAACCCAGGGCCCCCAUCCCAUUCCCUACUGUCCUUGCUUCUGUCCUGCUUGUGCAUGUGUGUCUGGAUGUGUGUGUGGUGUGCAUGCCCACACUGAAGAGGCAGAAGAGAUGAAGGUCCCUCUGCCCAUACCCAUUGGGAACUUAGCCCUGGGACUCUCUGCUCCCUCUCCCCUGAAGCUGCUUUGGAGUCCUCUCCCCCAGAUUGUUGGCAAAGCUGCUGAGCUUCUGAUUCAGUGACAUUUUACAGGAUCACUGUGUUCUCUCUUCAGAGCCAUUUGAGAUAGAACUGGGAACAGGAGGCCCACUGUCUCAGAGGAUUGCAUCAAGAACUGUGCCCCCGAGCAGCUGAAGACUGCAGGGUCUUGGAGCUGCAGGGACAGGAGGGAAGGAGCCAAUACUCCACCAGGCAUCCACUCUUUUCACAUACUAUCUUUUCAUGAAUCUCUGCAGUCGUGAUAGAAAGUACCCCCAAAAUGUCUCCAUCUGAAAGUAGAGGAAACUGAGGCUGAGAGGCAUAAAAGUGACUGGCCUAACACAUCAGUGAAUAAAUGGCCUGAAAGAUCUUUAACACUAGUCUGCUCUAAUUCUGCAUGAUGACUCUUCCUUUAUGUCAUGCAGUCAAGCCUUGCCACCAGCCAGAAUUUCUGAGAUGCAUCACUGGUUUAUAAAGCGGUGUCAAAUGGUAUGAGCAUGGAGGGGAUGACAUGUGUGCAGUGGGUCACAGCACUUCUCUUUCUUCAGACUCGAAGUCCAAGUUUUGUCAGAAAAUUCUCAUGGAAAGACAGACAGAUACCAGGCUGACCUAGCAUCCACUCAUUCUCUCCCUCUCUCUCUCUCUCUCUCUCUCUCUCUCUCUCUCUCAGUUUGGAAAAAGGAUUUGUAGGUCAUUUAGUCCAAAUUUCUAAUUCCUGAAUUAAAGUUGCAGUAUCUAAAGUAAAUAGCUUUCUAGCCUGUGCUUGGAGAUUUAUAGACUGUAAGGACUUUUACAAAGGGAGAAAUUAUUACCAGAGAUAAUGAAAUGAGGUGUGACCCUGACAAUGCAUAGGCUCACAGUGUAGGCAUCUGGAACUCUGUAGUGGCCGUGGUCAGCAUGGACAUGGUGCGGUGUUGGUAACAGUAAUGACAGUAGUAGUAGCAGUGAUGAUGGUUGUGCUGGAGGUCAGGGUGGUGAUGGAAAUGACUGUGACAGCAGUAAUGGGGUGGUGUGAGUCUUGAUGGUAGUAGCACCAGAGGUGGUAGAAGUUGGAGUGAUCCUGGAAGGAAAGCCCCAAGCAGAGGGUAAGUUCUUCCUGGGACAUCAACUAGUUGCCCAUACUGCCUGUAUUAAUCAUGCUUCUCUAGAGGAACAGAACCAAUAGAAAAUAUAUGCAUCAUGAUGCAAAGGGGUUAUUAGGUAGCUUACAGGGUCAGAGGUGGAGAAUCCACUGUGGCCAUCUCUGCACGCUGGAGAGCCAGGGCAUCCGGGAGCUGCUCAGCCCAUGAAGAUGGAGGCUGCAGAACAACAGGGAUCAAGGAUGAGGUGCAGUCCAAGCUCAGAGGCCCGGAAAGUCACUGGAGGGUUGCUGGUGCUAAUCUACAUCAGAAGGCUAAGGAAGAAACUGGAGACUUGGAGGCUGAUGUGCAAAGGAUUGGCCCUUCCAGGAAGACUGGGCCUCUUCAGAACUGGGACACUUCUUUAUUCUUUCCCUGCAAGCCUAUUGGUAGGUAGCGCCUACAUAGGAGGUGGGUCUCCCCUACCCAGUUUGCUGGCCUACAUGUCAAUCACCUUCAGAAACAGCCAGACCUGCACUUUACUAAUCUGGUAAGUGCUUCUUAAUUCAUUCAAAUAGACACAGUAUGAUUAAUAGUCACGCUGUCCCAGGGUAGCUCAUCCCUGUGAGGAGAAUGGAUAACUCCAUAGCAUUCUCCUGGCCUGUCCAGGUCAGGGAGCUGCUAGGCUGAAAUCUUGCCUGACACAGCCAAUGUCCUCCAUUCCAAGGUGGCCGGAACCCAGGGCCCUGAGGCCUGGCAGACUUUUCUAAGCUUUUGUAGAAAUGUUUAUGAUGGAAACAUAUUCAGGUCCACAGGCUGGGACAAGCCCACACACACACACACACACACACUCACACACACACACGCACAGAGUUUCUGCAGAAGCUGGUGGAGAGAGGAUGAGUGUGGCUAAGUGUGUGCCACAUGUCCAUCUCCGCCAUUCUGAUCCAGGUGGUUGCGCAAUGCUGG
ensembl:lncRNA